GGGAUUGUGGCUCAGUGGUAGAGCACUUACCUAGCAUGCAUGAGACACUGGAUCCAAUCCCC
rnacentral:tRNA from 1 species